rnacentral:lncRNA from 1 species
UCCAAUAAGACCACCAAUUAUAUGCCUUUCAAACGAUGUCAUCUUCUGAAAGCGUUCCACAUGGCUAUAAUCUUAUUACCUCUGGUUGAAGUAGUCACAGACCAAACUAAAUGGAACUGGACCAAAGGAAGAGGACACAGAAGGUAAAAGGAAGCAAGAUCAGCAGGUUCUCCCACUCUAGCGCUCCUACCAAGAGGCUUUGAUAAGCAAUCACAAUUGUCCCCAGUGACAUGAAAGAAAAAGUGAAGCAUCCUGUAGGGAUGCAUAACAUGACAUCUACAUAGACUUGAGUUUCAUGGAAGGAAACUGUCACCACAUACAAGUUCAAGGGAAAUGUUCAGCCUCCACGCCACUGAAUGCAGCUCUGCCCAGGCCUUAGGAAAAGGUGAAACCCCAAGUGGCAGGGGACCAAGUUCACCAUAUCCAGGAAGCUGUCCUUGAACCAGAAAUACCCAUGUUGUUCUCCGACAUGAACAAGAAAUAGGUUUCUAUUAUAUUAAGCAACAGAAAUUUUCAGAUAUAUUAGUUCUCCCAGCAGGAAGGAUGCAUUGAUAAUGGCAACAUGAAUGGAGCUCAAAACAUCACAUUUAAUGAAAAAAGAGACUUACAUAAAAAAAAUUAUAGACUACAUUAUUACAUUCAAAUGAAGUUCAAGAACAAGCAAAAGUUGUGGAAAAAUAUCGGAAAACUUGCUUCUGCUGGAGGGGUAGGACGGGAUUUGACUGGCAAGAGGCCUAGGGGAACAUGCUGGAAUGAUAUUAAUGUUCUAUUUCUUGAUGGAGGUUUGGGUUCCACAGGUGUAUGUAUUUGCAAAAGUUAGCAAAUAUAGAGUUAAGGUUUGUGUUCUUCCUUGUACAAUACAUUUUACACCAAAGGAAAGGCUGUAAACAAAUAUUGAACUGUAGUUAAUAUGU